CUCGUCUGCUCAAAUGUUCUAUGCUUUGUCUCCAGGACACUGAAGUUUCCAACCAGAUCACCCUGGUGGAAGACGUCUUAGCCAAGCUGUGUAAAACCAUCUAUCCUCUGGCAGAUCUACUUGCCAGGCCACUCCCAGAGGGGGUAGACCCUCUAAAGCUUGAGAUUUAUCUUACAGAUGAAGACUUCGAGUUUGCACUCGACAUGACCAGAGAUGAAUUCAACGCACUGCCCACCUGGAAGCAAAUGAACCUGAAGAAAGCGAAAGGCCUGUUCUGAGGGUGAGAUGACAGCCACAGAGAGGUCACUGCCACUAGACCAGAAAGUGGAUGGAGAUAUAUAUUUGGACUGGUGUUUUUUUCUGUCAGAGAAGAAAGUAUUUUUGACUCAGAGUUUUUCAAAACCUGACCUUAUUCGCUCUAUGGCUUGUCCCGGAGUUGAGCAUUCUGUAAAUGUCCAGGAGUACUCUUCGGAGCGUUCUUUUCCACAGUUCAGGUGAACUGAAAAGAAAGCGUCUCUUCCGUUCCCCUCAGCCGAGUGCUGCCUCAGUGGCCGCUGCAGCCCUACCCUCCUCUUCCAGCUCAGCGUUGCCUUUUUUAAAGCAAUUUUCUUUAUAAAGUGUUAUUUUGAUAGUUUGUGAAUUCUAAAUAUAUAUAUAUAUAUUUAUAUAAACACCAUAUAAAGCAACUAUGUAUUUAACAAGCUAUGUAUUCAUUCACUUGCAACUGUUCCCUUUGGUGUCAAAAGGACAUUACCAAGUGUAGGGCUGUGUCACUUCUGUUGACCUAGGCCUGCCACCAGUCUCUCCCAGGCUCAGGACUGCCUCCUCAGCCUUAGGUCUGGCUUGUGCCGAGUUCUGCUUCCGGUGCUAAAGCGAGCAAAGACUUUGUACUACUUCCCGGUGUGACUCUGAAGAAUCUAUCUGAAUCAACCUUUCUACCUUAAUGUCCCCCCCGGAAGUGUAUAGUGCCUUGUUUUAUGUACAGUUUAUAUACAGAAAAGUUUGCUCUGCUCUUUUGAUGCCGGCUUGGAACCUUAUCUACAGUUUUAUUCUCAGUAGAGAUAAAAACAUCUCAAUUUCUCAUACCCAUUGUAAACAUUACACACGUCAUUUUGUGACACAGGAUCCCAAAAAUAAAAUUUCAGAGUAAUCACAACUCAUUGAUCAGUUUACAUUGAA
rnacentral:lncRNA from 1 species